GAAUCUCCGCUGUGAUACUGUGAAGACUAUAUCUAGGUCCAUCAAGUCAUGAUUUCCAGGGCUGCCAAAUGGACGGUCAUCACCAUCAUCAUGAGCGUAACCAGCCAGAAGAUGGACUUCACAGGCACCCAAGACCCUCUUCUAGCAGGGAAGCCACAUCUCUUCCCCAGAGGAGCAUCUCAGACCUGCUGUGCUCCCUCACAUCUUUCCCCUGCCUUGUUCUCCUCUGCUCUCUACAUCCCGGCAUCCUUUCACCUUCCAUCCUACUCCCCCAAGGUCCUCAGCAGCCUAGCAGGAGUGCGUCUCUCCACCCUAGUUCUGGCAUCAGGGAGACAGGGUUGCCUUCCCAGCUCGGCCACCUACCAGCUCAGUCAGGGAGCUUCCGCUUUCUGA
rnacentral:lncRNA from 1 species